ACUCAAAGGAAUUGACGGGGGCCCGCACAAGCGGUGGAGCAUGUUGUUUAAUACGUCACUAACCGUAGAACCUUACCAGGGCUUGACAUCUCUGGCUACCCGGUGAAAGCCGGGGUUCCCCGCAAGGGGACCAGAAGACAGGUGUUGCAUGGCUGUCGUCAGCUCGUGUCGUGAGAUGUUGGGUUAAGUCCCGCAACGAGCGCAACCCUCACCCCAUGUUGCCAGCGGAUAAUGCCGGGAACUCUUGGGGAACUGCCCGGGUAACCGGGAGGAAGGUGGGGAUGACGUCAAGUCAGCAUGGCCCUUACGCCCUGGGCUACAAACAUGCUACAAUGGACGGUGGACAAAGGGAACCGAUGCCGCGAGGUGGAGGCAAUCUCAAAAAUCCGUCCCCAGUUCAGAUCGCAGGCUGCAACUCGCCUGCGUGAAGUUGGAAUCGCUAGUAACCGCAGAUCAGCCAAGCUGCGGUGAAUACGUUCCCGGGCCUUGCACACACCGCCCGU
rnacentral:rRNA from 1 species